rnacentral:rRNA from 1 species
GGUUAAGCGACUAAGCGUACACGGUGGAUGCCCUGGCAGUCAGAGGCGAUGAAGGACGUGCUAAUCUGCGAAAAGCGCCGGCGAGGUGAUAUGAACCCUUGACCCGGCGAUGUCCGAAUGGGGAAACCCAGUGUGUUCCGACACACUAUCGUUAACUGAAUACAUAGGUUAACGAGGCGAACCGGGGGAACUGAAACAUCUAAGUACCCCGAGGAAAAGAAAUCAACCGAGAUUCCCCCAGUAGCGGCGAGCGAACGGGGAGCAGCCCGGAGUCUGAAUCAGCUUGUGUGUUAGUGGAACGGUCUGGAAAGUCCGACGGUACAGGGUGAUAGUCCCGUACACGAAAACACACUUGCUGUGAACUCGAAGAGUAGGGCGGGACACGUGGUAUCCUGUCUGAAUAUGGGGGGACCAUCCUCCAAGGCUAAAUACUCCUGACUGACCGAUAGUGAACCAGUACCGUGAGGGAAAGGCGAAAAGAACCCCGGCGAGGGGAGUGAAAAAGAACCUGAAACCGUGUACGUACAAGCAGUGGGAGCACCUUCGGGUGUGACUGCGUACCUUUUGUAUAAUGGGUCAGCGACUUAUAUUCUGUAGCAAGGUUAACCGUAUAGGGGAGCCGAAGGGAAACCGAGUCUUAACUGGGCGUUAAGUUGCAGGGUAUAGACCCGAAACCCGGUGAUCUAGCCAUGGGCAGGUUGAAGGUUGGGUAACACUAACUGGAGGACCGAACCGACUAAUGUUGAAAAAUUAGCGGAUGACCUGUGGCUGGGGGUGAAAGGCCAAUCAAACCGGGAGAUAGCUGGUUCUCCCCGAAAGCUAUUUAGGUAGCGCCUCGUGAACUCAUCUUCGGGGGUAGAGCACUGUUUCGGCUAGGGGGCCAUCCCGGCUUACCAACCCGAUGCAAACUACGAAUACCGAAGAAUGUUAUCACGGGAGACACACGGCGGGUGCUAACGUCCGUCGUGAAGAGGGAAACAACCCAGACCGCCAGCUAAGGUCCCAAAGUCAUGGUUAAGUGGGAAACGAUGUGGGAAGGCACAGACAGCCAGGAUGUUGGCUUAGAAGCAGCCAUCAUUUAAAGAAAGCGUAAUAGCUCACUGGUCGAGUCGGCCUGCGCGGAAGAUGUAACGGGGCUAAACCAUGCACCGAAGCUGCGGCAGCGACACUAUGUGUUGUUGGGUAGGGGAGCGUUCUGUAAGCCGUUGAAGGUGUGCUGUGAGGCAUGCUGGAGGUAUCAGAAGUGCGAAUGCUGACAUAAGUAACGAUAAAGCGGGUGAAAAGCCCGCUCGCCGGAAGACCAAGGGUUCCUGUCCAACGUUAAUCGGGGCAGGGUGAGUCGACCCCUAAGGCGAGGCCGAAAGGCGUAGUCGAUGGGAAACAGGUUAAUAUUCCUGUACUUGGUGUUACUGCGAAGGGGGGACGGAGAAGGCUAUGUCAGCCGGGCGACGGUUGUCCCGGUUUAAGCAUGUAGGCGGAGGUUCCAGGUAAAUCCGGUACCUUUUAACGCUGAGGUGUGAUGACGAGGCACUACGGUGCUGAAGUGAUAAAUGCCCUGCUUCCAGGAAAAGCCUCUAAGCAUCAGGUAACACGAAAUCGUACCCCAAACCGACACAGGUGGUCAGGUAGAGAAUACCAAGGCGCUUGAGAGAACUCGGGUGAAGGAACUAGGCAAAAUGGUGCCGUAACUUCGGGAGAAGGCACGCUGAUAUGUAGGUGAAGUCCCUGCGGACGGAGCUGAAAUCAGUCGAAGAUACCAGCUGGCUGCAACUGUUUAUUAAAAACACAGCACUGUGCAAACACGAAAGUGGACGUAUACGGUGUGACGCCUGCCCGGUGCCGGAAGGUUAAUUGAUGGGGUUAGCGGCAACGCGAAGCUCUUGAUCGAAGCCCCGGUAAACGGCGGCCGUAACUAUAACGGUCCUAAGGUAGCGAAAUUCCUUGUCGGGUAAGUUCCGACCUGCACGAAUGGCGUAAUGAUGGCCAGGCUGUCUCCACCCGAGACUCAGUGAAAUUGAACUCGCUGUGAAGAUGCAGUGUACCCGCGGCAAGACGGAAAGACCCCGUGAACCUUUACUAUAGCUUGACACUGAACACUGGUCCUUGAUGUGUAGGAUAGGUGGGAGGCUUUGAAGCGUGGACGCCAGUCUGCGUGGAGCCAUCCUUGAAAUACCACCCUUUAAUGGCUGGUGUUCUAACGUAGACCCGUAAUCCGGGUUGCGGACAGUGUCUGGUGGGUAGUUUGACUGGGGCGGUCUCCUCCCAAAGAGUAACGGAGGAGCACGAAGGUUGGCUAAUCCUGGUCGGACAUCAGGAGGUUAGUGCAAUGGCAUAAGCCAGCUUGACUGCGAGCGUGACGGCGCGAGCAGGUGCGAAAGCAGGUCAUAGUGAUCCGGUGGUUCUGAAUGGAAGGGCCAUCGCUCAACGGAUAAAAGGUACUCCGGGGAUAACAGGCUGAUACCGCCCAAGAGUUCAUAUCGACGGCGGUGUUUGGCACCUCGAUGUCGGCUCAUCACAUCCUGGGGCUGAAGUAGGUCCCAAGGGUAUGGCUGUUCGCCAUUUAAAGUGGUACGCGAGCUGGGUUUAGAACGUCGUGAGACAGUUCGGUCCCUAUCUGCCGUGGGCGCUGGAGAAUUGAGGGGGGCUGCUCCUAGUACGAGAGGACCGGAGUGGACGCAUCACUGGUGUUCGGGUUGUCAUGCCAAUGGCACUGCCCGGUAGCUAAAUGCGGAAGAGAUAAGUGCUGAAAGCAUCUAAGCACGAAACUUGCCCCGAGAUGAGUUCUCCCUGAGACUUUAAGUCUCCUGAAGGAACGUUGAAGACGACGACGUUGAUAGGUCGGGUGUGUAAGCGCAGCGAUGCGUUGAGCUAACCGAUACUAAUGAACCGUGAGGCUUAACCUU